rnacentral:rRNA from 1 species
AGCAGCCGCGGUAAUUCCAGCUCCAAUAGCGUAUAUUAAAGUUGUUGCAGUUAAAAAGCUCGUAGUUGAAUUUCGGGAUCAAUAUAUCGGUCGUGCCUUCGGUACGUACUGGUAUCAUUGGUUUCUCCUUUCUGACGAACCAUGAUGUCAUUAAUUUGGUGUUAUGGGGAGUUAGGACUGUUACUUUGAAAAAUUAGAGUGUUUAAAGCAGGCUUUAGCUUGAAUACAUUAGCAUGGAAUAAUGAAAUAGGACGUUCGAACCUAUUUUGUUGGUUUCUAGGAUCAACGUAAUGAUUAAUAGGGAUAGUUGGGGGCAUUAGUAUUCAAUUGUCAGAGGUGAAAUUCUUGGAUUUAUUGAAGACUAACUACUGCGAAAGCAUUUGCCAAGGAUGUUUUCAUUAAUCAAGAACGAAAGUUAGGGGAUCGAAGACGAUCAGAUACCGUCGUAGUCUUAACCAUAAACUAUGCCGACUAGGGAUCGGAUGAUGUUAAUUUUUUAAUGACUCAUUCGGCGCCUUAC